GACAGAGGUGCCGAGCGUUAGGCGGAAUCACUGGGCUUAAAGCGUGUGUAGGCGGACCGUUAAGUACCUUGUGAAAUCCUGCGGCUCAACCGCAGAACGGCUGGGUAUACUGGCGGUCUUGGGCCACCUAGGGGCAGAUGGAACAGACGGUGGAGCGGUGAAAUGCGUAGAUAUCGUCUGGAACGCCGAUGGUGAAAACAGUCUGCUGGGGGUGUGCCGACGCUGAGACACGAAAGCCAGGGGAGCGAACGGG
rnacentral:rRNA from 1 species